AGGAGGACUGAGAAGGUUACGCAGCCUGUGCUGUAAUAACUGGUUUAUACCUCCAAGAGAAACUAACGGAACGCAACAUGGU
rnacentral:snoRNA from 10 species